rnacentral:lncRNA from 1 species
UUUUUUUUUUUUUUUGCCAUUUCUUGGGCUGCUCCCAAGGCAUAUGGAGGUUCCCAGGCUAGGGGUCGAAUCAGAGCUGUAGCAGCUAGCCUAUGCCAGAACCACAGCAAUGCGGGAUCCGAGUCACGUCUGCAACCUACAUCACAGCUCACAGAAACACUGGAUCCUUAACCCACUGAGCAAGGCCAGGGAUCGAACCCACAACCUCAUGGUUCCUAGUCGGAUUCGUUAACCACUGAGCCACGAUGGAAACUCCUUUUAUUUCUAUUGCUUAGUACUCCUCUAGACUCGUUACUUACAGUAGCCAAUAGAUUCUCUUCUUUAUUAAUUCUGAUUUGAAUUGAGUUUUUGUCACUUGCAGAUGAGAGGACAGGCUGGAUCCCAGCUUGGAGGAUUGGAAGAUGCAGGAGUUCUGCCAUGCACAGCCCUGCAUAAAUCCUCAGGAUAGAGAACACAGUACAUUAGGCUUCUAUGUAUGUGGCUUCUGUGACAUCCCAGAUUACAUCUUUUUUCUUCAUUUCUCUUCUGAGUGCUAGGCACAAAUCCACAGAUGUUAGCUAGAUAUUUCUCUUUGACCAUUCCCUACCAAAAAGUCAGUAUAUUUAUAAGGAAGUUUCUAGGUGUUUCUGGUUGACCAUAGUCUAUAAUUUGAAGUCAUUCUUGAUCACACCACCCUUCCCUACUUCUGAUUUUCAACCACAAAGACUAUUGAGCCAGAAUGAAUUUUAAGGUCUUAUAGUUGGGUGUAAACUCAAUUCAGAGAUGUGAAAACUGAUUAGUCAGAAAGCUUGUUGAGUCUUCCUCUGUGCCCUUUCCUUGUCAUAGCCCUUCCCAAGUGAUGGGAACAAGCAAUUGCUGCAUUCUGCGCCUCUCCCCCACCUCCAGGAGGAAGCCCCUGACUACUGGUGUUAUAACAGCUUGGGUUAAAUGAUCUGCUUGAUUGCACUGCCCCCUUGUGGUGCCAACAAAUGUUGGUUAGUAGUGCAUCUUAUAAAAAAGAAUAGUCAAGGAUUAUGUUAUAUAUAUAAUAGUCGUUAUAUUAAUUUGAUUAAUUUGGUGUUCAUUUACUUGUUUUCGUACAAGAGAAGACAUAAGUUUGAGUCAUUUACUUACCAAAGUAAUGCUUGAGAACAGAUCUCAUUCAUUAAGUUAAAAGUAAUUAAAAAGCAUACUUCAAUAUUAAGAGUGAAAGAAAAGAAAAGAGCAGAAAAGGGAAUGAUAAGGAGUAAGGGACAAAGACCCUAAGAAUGAGGCAGAGAGAGAAUAAUGAAAAGGUAUUUAAAAAAUAAAGAGAUAAGGAAAUACAUAGUGAGAAACACAGAGACAUCCAGGGAAAGAGACCUUUAAAUGAGAAAAGCCAUCGCUAAGGAACGAUGGCUUCUGCAGAGUCCAAUGCUGUCUUGCCAUGGCGAGUUCCUAGCAGUUCAAGACAAGGACUGGAAUGCUUUCUGGGUGGUGACUAAAUGGGCCUUCUAAUGAGAAUGAUAAAGAGGCAUCAGGGAGCUGACGGCUGAGACUCUGUUCAAGGCUGGAUGGUCAGGAGGUGGUGGACAGUUACAGGUAUAACACUUGAUGCUCCUCCCCUAGUGCCCCACACUUAGCCUCCAGAGGGGCAUCUUUCAACCCUCCUGUAGGAGGGACUGUAAGGAACUGAGGAUAGAGGGCCACACGCAUAACAGUGUACUGGAAGCAGCUGGUAUUGCGUAUCUAUCCUGUUUGGGACUCUAUUAGUCACCUCCAGCUGCUGUAACAAAAUACCACAGACUGGGAAGCUUAAACAACUGAAAUUUAUUUUCUCAUAUUUUCGGAGGCUGGAAGUCCAAGAUCAAGGUGCCAGCAAGGUUUCUUUCUUUCUUUCUUUCUUUCUGCCUAUCUGUAGCAUAUGGAAUUUCCUGGGCUAGGGGUGGAAUUGGAGCUGCACCUGGGGCCUACACCACAGCUAAGGCAACACUAGAUCUUUGACCUGCACUGCAGCUUGUGGCAAUGCUGGAUUCUUAACCCUCAGAGUGAGGCCAGGGAUCAAACCCGCAUCCUCACGGACACCAUGUAAGGGUCUUAACCUGUUGAGCCACAUCAAGAACUCUCAGCAGGGUUGGUUUCUGAUGGGGCCUCUCUUCAUGGAUUUAAAACUUCUGCCUUCUCACUGUGUCCUCAUGUGGCAGAGAAAGAGAGAGAGAGAGUUCUGGUGAUCUUCCCCGUAUAAAGACACCAGCCCUAUCAGAUUAGGAGCCCGCUCUUAAGCUCCUUGUGACUUCAUUUAACCUUAAUUACUUCCUAAUAACCGUGUCUUUAGUAUAGACAUAUUGGGGGUAAAGGCUUCAACUUAAGGAUUUUGGAGGGACCAAGUUAGAAUGUUGGAACAUUAGCUUUGAGAAAGUCCUCUCCUGCCUCUGUAGUGUAGUUGGGGAGGUCAGUGGGGCACCCAGGAGGGGAGGGAUGGUGGCAGGGUGGUGAUGAGGAAGUGGAAAGGGCUGGCUUGAGGGUGAGGACUGCUUCCAUCAGUGAUGGUCAGGUCUUUCCAUCAUCUGCCAUGUCACAGAUACAAGAAGAAAAUAGUAACUCCAGCCCAGAGAGGAUCAGAGGAGAAAUUUGUGCUUUGACCAUAAAGGUGAGCUUGGAAUUACUCACAAGCACAAUGGGCCACCCAAGAACCUUGUCAGGAAAAAGGAGGAACUCUGGCAGGAUUGGGUUCUAGUGUUCCCACAGGCAGGGACUUAGUUUCAUUUUUUAAAAUUGCCCACGCCUUUCUCAGGCUGGUGAUAGCUAGGAGACAUAAAGACAGUGGGGCCAAGGAAGACAGCAGGGGGUGUGGCUGAUGUACAUGUGAGGGUUGACUGAGGGGAGUAGGAGAGACUGACACACACACACACACACACACCCACCCCUACACACGACACCUGAGCUCCACACUUCCAUUCUGUAGCUGAGAACCUUUAUUAUCUGGCCUUCUGGUUUACCACUGUGAAAGACCUUAAUGUGAGCUCAUGUUUUCCCAGUCGCAGGUGUGGGGGGAAAUGGGACUCUUGGUCCUUGCUGCUGAGGUAGAUGGUAUUGAAUCAAAGGCUGGGGUCUGGUUUGGGGACCAGAGGUUCCAUUCUAUUCACUCCGAGUAGAGUGGAGCUGGCAGAAGGCCAGCGGGAGGUCUCCUCCCCCUGUGUCCUCCUAAGCAGAUGUGCUUUGGGCUGUGUUUAGUUCCCAGGGCACCCUACAGCCAGCCUGUCUUCUAGCCAGUGGCGAGUGUAGCAGAGCAGAAUCAUAAUCAUCACGUUGAUGUAUCAGUUAGGGAUGUUACAAGAGGAGAUGCAGGAGGCGACUAGGAGCUCACACUCAAAAGAGCUGGGCUUUUUGCAGUUGGUAGAGGAGAGACAAUGAAAGGACUGAGAACUAAUGAAAAGCAGGUUGCCCCUUAAGUUCAAAUACCUUGAAGUUCUUGCCUAAGCCGUUUAGAAAGCAGGGCACACCCAGGCCAGAUUCACAGAGCUCAGUAUCCCCAGCCCAGCAACCACCUGUCGUGGGUGGACACAGCCACCUUAUCAGAGGCAAGUAUAGAGGAAGCAGUGAGCAGUCAGCUGCAGAGCAGCACAUCCAGGACCACCAGCCCCAGUGCCCCAGGCAGCACCUGGUAAAGUUACUCUUAGCCCUGAAGGCUGGCCUCUUCCCUUCCUCCCAUGCAGAUCUGUGAGCUAGCAUGCAAACAGAGCAUGCUGACAACAGAGUGAGCAGAGUAGGCAGGUGUCCUCUGUCGGGGCUUUGUGUCCAGGAGACUGAAAGCCACCAACGAGCUAGGCCAGCAGAUGGAAGAGACAAGAAGUUAGAGAUUGGGGGGAGAGGAAGUUGAGGGGAUCACUGGCGUUUGGGGAGUGGGGAGAUUGUGUGUGUGUGUGUGUGUGUGUGUGUGUCCAGCAUGAGUGGAGGAUGUGACAUGGAGAAAAUAAAGGUAAGUAAGACCUUUCUGCCUCAGUCCUCGAGCUCAGGGGAAAAGCUAUAGCUCUUCUGUGCUUGGUGACCUACCUCUAGUUCUCACAUUCCCCAAGUCGUGUGUCCGUAUUUGCUGUUGUUAUUUACUCCUUCUGGGAUAGAGUCGAAAGCCCAGCCCCUUGCAGAGGAGGUUAUUUCUGUGUAAGGUUUAUUUCAUUUCAUUACAGUGGUUGGUAAUCUGACUGUCCCUGUGUUCAGAGAUCUGAGAUUGACAGUCUCCAGGAUCGCACUCCAAGUGUCACAUCUUGUUAGAAGGGCGGGAGCCUGUGUUGGAUGUCUGAAUUAUGCUGGUGCCUUUGAAGGCACUUGUCUCCGGAGAUUCUGCAGGCUGGGUGGCUCUCCCAGCACUGUAUGGGCCUCUUGGCCAUAGCAACCCCUGAGACCUGCUUAACCUUUGCUUGUUUGCUGAUAUCAUGGUAGUCUGAGAAGCAGUGCAUCAGGACCUGCUUGCAAAGCUAAACUGUGCCAGAAUUUUACAAAGUUCAAAUCUCUCCCUACUUUAGAGGAGGGGUUGGCCUACCUUUUCUGUAAAGGAUCAGGUAGUGAAUAUUUUAGGCUUUGUGGGCCAGUUUCUGUUGCAGCCACUCAAUUCUGCCAUUGUAGAAUGAAAGCAGCCUUAAACAACAUGUAAACAAAUAAGCAUGGCUCUGUCCCAAUAAAACAUUCUUUACUAAAAUGGGGGCUGGCUGCUGGCUGGGUUUGGCUCACAGGCCAUGGUUUGCUGAUCCUUGAUAUAAAAUAUCUUUUAUAAUCCUCUCCCUUUUUUUAAGAAAAAAACCAAAAAUUUAAUAUGAAUUAAAAAAAAUAAUUUGACAGGACAAACCAUGAAAUCUCUGCUUUCCCCCCAUUCCAUUUCCUGCUUCCUAGAGUAAAUCACUUUUCUUCUUUUAAUUAUUUUUCAAUCGCCUCUAUGUCUAAAUCACAUGCUUAAACCACUAUUUCCUUCCCUCUUUCUUUCUUUCUUAUGGCCAAACGCUUGGCCUAUGGGAAUUCCCAGUCCAGGGACUGCAUCUGAGCUGAAGCUGUGACCUGUGCCACAGCUGCGGCAAUAUCAAAUCCUUUAAUCCAUGCUCUGGGCCAGGGAUUGAACCUGUGCCUCUGCAGUGAGCCGCUACAGUCAGAUUCGUAACCCACCGCACCACAGUGGGAACUCUGGAAACCACUAUUUCUUGUUAUACUCAUUGUAUGCAGUGUCUAAUGAUGUAUCGCUGGGAAAGAUAUAGUUCUUUCACUCUGUCACCUCCUGCUGCCCUGCACAUUCAUACUUCCUGCCCUCUCCUGUCUGCCAAUAAUCAUAUCAUUAGUUUGGAUGGAUUGAUAUCAGGAUUUAUGUUCAAUCCUCUCCCUUCUUAAACUCCUGCCAUCACUAGAACAACCUAUAUUCCAUAGUUCUCAGGAGAGAUGGGAGGAGCUUGAACAUUCAAGGUAUUUGUUUUGACACUUCUCAAUGGGUCUUGGCCCUUGAUAAGCUCAGAUAUGUAUGCUUGGUCCAUCAGCAUUUGAAAUCCCUCUGGGCAUGAGUUAUUGAACAGAGUUCUAAGGGUCCUCCCUACUGUCCUGUAUCAAUAGACAAUUCAAACAAGAUUACAUUGCCUCUGCCUGGCACAGGUAGGGAGGAUGGAACAGUCCUGCUCCCACUGUACCCCAGUGAUAAAAGGAGUCUAAAGUGUUUCCAGAUAAAAACGGAAUUGAGGAUAAAAUUAAAGAAAUAUGGGUUAGAUAAAUGCAAAUGUAAUUUUACUAGAGGUUGCCAUUUUGCCUAUCUGCCAGCUAAGAAGCAGAACAGAUGUUCUCCUGUAGCUUCACCUAAAGGAUUUAUGGUUAGACUCAUGGUUUUUGCUGGGAGAUAAGUGACAAAUAGUGUAUCAGUGUUGUUUUAAUUGUGUUUUCACGUUUUAUGAAACAUUUAUUUAUCUGUGAAUUUAUUUGUUAGUAUCUGCUAUGCCUUAUUUUACGGGGUUAUUUGUCUUUGGUGCUACAAUUUUUAUAAAGAGUCCUUAUGUACUUACAGAGAUUAUUGUCUAUUUUUCUAAAAAUAUAUGGUACAUUUCCCCCAUGUUCACUUGUAUUUUAUUUUAUUUAUUAUUAUUGUUUUAAAAUUUCCCUUUUGAUUUCCUCAUUGACCCAUUGGUUUUUGUUUUUUUUUUGUCUUGUCUUUUUUUUAAGGGCCACACCUGUGGCACAUGGAGGCUCCCAGGGUAGGGGUCAAAUCAGAGAUGUAGCUGCUGGCCUACACCACAGCCACAGCAACUCAGGAUCUGAGCUGCAUCUGCAGCCUACACCACAGCUUAUGGCAACGCUGGAUCCCUAACCCACUGAGUGAGGCCAGGGAUCAAACCCGAAACCUCAUUGAUGAAACCCACUUGGGUUUGUCAACCACUGAGCCAUGAUGGGAACUCCAGUGUUCACUUGUAUUUUAGAUUUUCUUAUUUUUUUAAAUGUAAAAGUAUUUUUUCUUUUUUAUAUUUUAUAUACUCAAAUAAAGCGUUUUUUUUCUUUCUUGCUUCUGAAACUUGUCAUGUGGGAAACUUUCCUUUUUUUCUAAGUUGAAAAGAAUAUACCUGUUUUUCCUUUAGUUUUUAAUAUGAUUUCAUUUUUUAUGUUUAAAUCUCUAAGUAAUUUGGAAAUUAUCUUGGUGGGUAAUGUGAGGGAGGAUUCAAUUUUAUGUUAUUUUCCAAAUGGCUAUCUGGUAAUUUCACUAUUAAAAAGUCAUUUUUUUCUCUAUGAUUUUGAGAUAAAUUUGUUCAUGUAUCAAAUCAUCAUAUGCACUCGCAUCUAUUUCUAGACUUUCUAUUCUGUCUACUCAUAUGUCAGAAUUAUACUUAAAAUGUUUUAAUUUUAAAGGAUUAUAAUAUGCUCU